rnacentral:rRNA from 1 species
GAUGAACGCUAGCGAUAGGCCUAACACAUGCAAGUCGAGGGGCAUCACAUGAAGUAGCAAUACGGAUGGUGGCGACCGGCGCACGGGUGAGUAACACGUAUGCAACCUGCCUUCAACAAGGGGAUAACCCGUUGAAAGACGGACUAAUACCCUAUAACACAGGGGUCCCGCAUGGGGAUAUUUGUUAAAGGACAACCGGUUGAAGAUGGGCAUGCGUUCCAUUAGCUAGUUGGCGGGGUAAGGGCCCACCAAGGCAACGAUGGAUAGGGGAACUGAGAGGUUUAUCCCCCACACUGGUACUGAGACACGGACCAGACUCCUACGGGAGGCAGCAGUGAGGAAUAUUGGUCAAUGGACGCAAGUCUGAACCAGCCACGUCGCGUGAAGGAAGACGGCCCUACGGGUUGUAAACUUCUUUUAUACGGGAAUAAAGUGCCCCACGCGUGGGGUUUUGCAUGUACCGUAUGAAUAAGGAUCGGCUAACUCCG